ACAUUAUUGCGAGUACUUCUCAUCAUUAU
rnacentral:sRNA from 1 species